AGCUGCAUACUAUUCUCAUAUUAGUCAUGCAUUCAUAGAACUAGUUUACUCAUGUGUCAUGUUUCAGACUCAAAUAUGUAAUCACGUUUUCAUCAUGUAUAUUCAGCAUAUAGACUCAAUUCCUCAGUGCUUUCAACUUAACCAAUCUUAUUCGAGGACGAAUGAUCCCAAGGGAGACAUAUUGUAAUACCCCAAAAAAUCCAAACCAAUGUUAGAACCAUGUU
rnacentral:lncRNA from 1 species